rnacentral:lncRNA from 1 species
GUUUGGAGUUGGUCCGAAAGAGGUAGAUUCUGUGGGGCAGGAGGUGCAAGGUGGAGGUGAGGUAUUGGGUAUGGUUGGUGAUGGAUGUGGUGUUUUGGUGGAAGGGUGUCUUCAAAAUUUGUGAAGGGAAUGAGAGAUAUAUCGGAAGGUGUGGCGGAUGAGUGAAAUGGGAAAAUCUCUUCAUCAAAUUUAGCAUGCCUAGUUGUAACGCCUCGCGAUUUAAUACUCCUUAUUCCUGGCAAGUCUCAUCGUACUUCUUACCUGUUGACACUUGUACUCUCAUUGUAUCCCACUGAAACUCGAGACGACUGAUCGUAAUGAAAAUGAAGCAGUUUUAACCAUAAUUGUGCUAAACUAUGAGCAAACGACUGACUCAAAAUGAGACUUUUUAAACGAGAAUGACACGUUCAUUCUAGAUUCUUGAUUCUUGACUCUUUGUUACGCUCUGAUUCUUGACUCUUUGUGAUGCUUUGAUAUUUAAUAAACGAGAAACUAGCUUAAACACAAACUUAAAACAAAGAAACCUCCUAUGUUAUUAUGCCACAUGUAAUGGCUACUCACAAUAAUACGCAACGCAACACUUAAACCUCACUCGCAAAACGAACCAAAAUAGGAAAACUAACACACGCGAACCGGCUGUCUGAAUGGACAUCCGAUCGGAUGACCAUCCGCCCGGAUGACCAUCCGACCGGAUGGCCAUUUGACCGGACGCCAUCCGAUCGACUGCCCUUCUCCCCCGACUUAACCCAUUCGAUUAGAGCUGUCACUAUCACCUAUAAAUAGGACACUUAACCUCAGUUUUCACCUUUCAUUCGGUUCGUUCGCUCUCAAGCUCCCAGACACUUUCAGUCACGAUUCAAGGCCAAAUUGUAAGCUUUUUACCCCAAAUCUCCUCUAAUCUUCAUCUUUAAUCACUUCUACACCACAUUCUUCAUCAAAAUCACACGAACACUUCAACUUUUCCUCGAAAACCAACUGAUUUGGACAUCUUGAAGGUGGUUUCCACUCGGUUGCUUAUGCAAACUGUUGUGGAGCACCAUUUAACCAAGAUUCGUUCCAGAUCUAGUGUAUUUUCACUACUUUUAUACAAGAUCUAAAGGAUUAUCACACUUUUAUAGCAGAUCUAAUGGAAUUGCACAUGUUUCCGGCUCGGAUCGGAUAAACUUCACGUUUUACAACUGAUUUCUGAACUUUUCUUUAGUUUUCUACAAAACAUUGGUGAAAUCAGACUCAAAUAGACUCUCGACUCGUUUCUUAGUCGAGAGUCGGCUUGAAAACUGAUUUCCACCAAAAAGACGGACCGACUAACGGGUCAAUCAUGAAAUUUCACCAAAACAGUGCAUCUGUUCGAAGGGGUGGUACCCGUCCGACCGAAUGAGCUGGUUUCGGUGUGUUUCCGUUGCUUGACACGUUGUCACGCCGUCCCCGUUAACACAAAACUUUUACUAAGAAAACUUUACAAGAUUUCAAAAUACAGAUCACUCACUCGAAUGGGCAUCCGACCGGAUGACCAUCCGAACAGGUGACCUGUUCCUUAUACCAUUUCUUGUUUAAAACACUUUUGGCUAAAACAAUUUACAAACACCACACAUUCAUUCGAAUGGCCAUUUGUUUGAGUGGUCAUCCGCUCGGAUGACCAUCCGUUCGGAUGACCAACCGCUCGAAUGGAGACCCAUCCGUUCGGAUCACCAGUCGAACACUCUACCAUCUAAUAAUCUGUUAACGCACUGUUCAACGACUUAUGCUACUGUUCUCAUGCUUAGGCUAAUCUAACGCGCUCCCUUCAAUCCAAUACAAGCUGUGUUUACUAGCUAAACAUGCAUUGUGAGUAUACUCGAUCCCUUUUUUGCUUUAACAUUUUGGGAUGCAACAUGUAUUCUAUAUCAAAACACUUGACACUUGACACUUGAAGCUUGUUUAUAAGCAUACUCUAUCCGUAUUAAACAUGAAAACGUGAUACUUGUGAAACUUGAGACUUUUAUGCUAUGUGAACGUUUGAUUCUUAUGUGUAGCUCGCCUUAACAAUUAUAGUGCUAUAGGGGUAACACACCUCUCCUUGAGUCUUGGGGAGUAUUGUUAAGUUUUGAUUCUUUUACCUCCUCUUCGUUGCAACGAAGUAGGAAAGGCACGUUAACGCGUUGGAGACUUGGGUUACCAUAUGAACCAUGUUAACUAGCAUGCUGAAACUUGUGAUAUGUUGUUCAUGUUGGAUAUGAGUUUUAUACGUUUAAACUAUUAUACAAGUUUUAUACAUAGCAUAGUAGAAUAAAAUGUUUAAAUGUGCUCAUAUCCAACAUGAAUAAGAUGAUACUAGUUAACAGUUAUGCCGAAAUGAUGUUACUUUACAUGCUCAAACCAAUGUUUACGCAAUUAAAGUGCCUAUUCCAAAAGUUUAGCGGGAGGUUAAAAUGUUUAAGUUAACAAUACCCAAGGAUAGUGGGUGGGGCGUUACAAACUAUAGCACUAUAAUUGUUAAGGUAGGCUUGAUUGAAGUUAAUGAGCAUAUAGUCAUGAAGUGUUUACAUUAGCAUCACAUGUAUAACAAGAAUCAAACAUUUCAUGUGUAAUUUGGAUAGAGUGUGAACAAAUAAAGUUUAACGUGUUUGUGUAAUUUGCAUAAGAAUACAAGUCGCACCCAAAAGUGUUGAAAAAAUGAAAAUGGGAUCAUGUAUACUCACACUGGUUGGGUAUGAGGAUUCCUGGAAUUAUCGCACGAGUAGAGAUUGAGAAAAUCCAAGAGAACGAACGUAUUGGUUAUCCUAGAUAUUUAGAAUAAUACGUAACGAACUGGUUAAAAGUUGUGGGUUAAAUAUAAUCCCUAAUGUUUAUGAUUAAUUUGAUAUCAUAUUUUGCCACAUUAAUUAGUUUGUAUUGUUAUAAAAGAAGUCCUUUUUUAGAAGGUUUGUGUUAUUAUAAAAUACAUAAAAUAAUAAAAGGAUCCAACUAAAUUCCUAAUAUUUAUUGUGUUAUAAACUAAUAGUUAUGAUAAUAAAUCCUUGUUGAUAUAAAGAGUUGUAAUAAAACGUUGGUUAGUUAAGUUAUUAAUGAAAUCUUACAAGUUUUAUUAUAAAAAUGAAGGAAGAAGCAAAAAUAAUUUUAUUAAGAUAUAAGUAAACUGUUUAAUAAAUAACCAUGUUGAUAAUUAU